GCCAGACUCCCCUCACCCAUGUCGCACGCGAGAGUUGAUUCUCUGGUCGGUGUGCCCAUGAUGCACCGUGGGCAGCGCGGAGGAGGGAGGUCUGCCGACGUUGAAUCGUGUUUGCGCCCUCAUCGAAGCCGCAUAGUCAGGUCCGGGAUCAUCACUCAGUCCCCAGGAAAUUCUUCGUGGCGUCUCCGGGCGCGGGAGGCCAGGACCAGGAUUCAAUGGGGAUUUCUUGCCGCUGCAACUUAGCCACGGCGAAGCCGCAUCUCAUCAUGGACUCACGCUUGGACCAACGACGAAGCCUGGCUGGAAUUGCUAAUGAUGCCUCAGGAAUUGCUUGAUGCAGAUCCACCUCUGGCCGUGGACGGACCUCUGCACCUCAUCAACCCCGGUAAGAAUAUCCCUCAAACGUUCACGACCCUCUCUUACGCCCGUAGAAACUCUCGUCUAAUCUUUUGGGUCUCGGAUCGCCAGUACUUCCAUGUCUGGUGAGGGCGCCGCCGCCCUGGCUAACCACACCGCCGUGGUCGUGGCUUGGGUAAGAAGAAGAUGAUGAUCGGCCGUUGGAUCGUUCACCAGCGGUAGGAAUUAGAAAGUCGCGUACCCUUUCGUGGGGAUUGAUCUAGGCCAUAGGAUUAGAGAUGGAUGGCGUAUAAUGGUUUUAAGUCGUGGCUGCCUCUCGGCCGUCGAUCUCUGGAUCGACGAUCCUGGUCAAAUACCGGUUCAUAAAGCACUUGGUUUAAUCUCGCGCGUCCAAAUUUGAUCGUGUGGCUCUAAUAAACUGGAAAACAAUUCAGUACAUCCCAGAUACAAACGCACGCUUUUGCAGCCCCUCACAUCCACCACCAAGAGGCCCACAAAAAUAGAUUAAAACUAGUCGGUUGCCCAUGCGUUGCGACGGCUUACAACAAUACCUACGUAAACUAUCCAUCAAAAAAAAUUCAAGAUUUUUUAUUGAUUGUCUCCGCUCUCUAUAUAAUAUAUUUUUUGAUUUGGCUAACUGAUGUUAUUGUUUACUCCAUGCAAAUAUGUCUUGGUACAACACGGCCAAUGAAGUGAGCGAUUAGAAGAGAGUGCACAACGAUUGACUGAAUAAACAGAGAUUAUAAAAUGACAUAAUUCCAUCAUACAGAGACCAAAUAAGAGAAAGUUUGUGAGAUCAAGUUUCUAAAAUAAGUCCCAUGAAGUUAAACUUAUAAAAAAGAUAGAUCAAAAUAUUGAGUGAUUGCUAAAGUCAGACAUCAAAAAAACUGGAUGCGCUACAUAUAAAUUAUGCUACUUCGUAGCAAUUACUAACGUUUAAAACCAACAAAUAACUUUUUAUUUUGCUGUUAGUGUGACAAAUCAUUGCUGCUCUAUCCAAUUCAGCAAUCUCAAACACCAUGUAGUCUAUUGCGCCAAUGUGGUCUCAUAAACGACAUAAUGCUUGCAAGAGCCAAGAACGUCGUGCCGUGCUUGGGCUGUAGCCUCGACCCGUAGUGCUGGCCGGGGCCGACACGAUUAUUUUUUAUUUUACAAAAAAAACGUAUAUACCUAUAUACAAUUUAUAUUCAAUAUUAAAAACAUCUUAGCGUGAUGUUCUACUGGUUAGACAGCAUGGGUUCGGACCUCACCUCCUGCACCGUUUUUUAACAUUUUACGCUGAUUUAAUUAAAUGGAUCUACGGGCUAACGGGCUGGCCCGACACAGUUAGCUGGCCGGCAUGACAUGUCUGUGCCAUAGUUGUGGCCCGCGUGCAUCUAGCCCGUGUCGGGCGUCGUUACGCUGAUUUAAUUAAAUGGAUCGACGGGCUAACGGGCUGGCCCGACACAGUUAGCAGGCCGGCAUGACGUGCCUGUGACAUAGUUGUGACCCGCGUGCAUUUAGCCCGUGUCGGGCGUCGUUUGACAUCUAUAGACGUGCAACGGAUUAAUUUGAAAUAGCUGUGAGGGGUUAUUUGUAAAAAAAUGACGCAUGACGACCGUUGAAACUGGUGCUUUAAGUAUAGUAUAGAUUUGCAACUUAACCCUUUAGUAAUUUGUUCUUCUUCUAUUUAUAUGGAACACAAGGUGGUGGACGUGAGGAGCUCCAAAAGAGUUCUUUUGCAUCCAGGAUGCAAAGAUUUUUUUUCCGAUAAACUCAUACCCCUUCAUCCAAGUCAUUUUGCAUAAAGAGCCCCUCAACUUUUGUCUAUUUAACCUGUUGUCCAUCAUAGUUCAAGAAACAUUACAAAUGAGUACGAGUUUUAUUGAUUUAGACUCUAGGUUCCUUAUAAGCUUAACCCGACAUCCCUAUAUACAUUAAAAUAGGUAAAUUGAUUUGGAAAAUAUAGAAAACCCUCAAAAUUGGUUUUUAGUAGGAAAAUAAAUGUGAAAGCUUGCAAAAGCCAUAUCUUAUUCAUUUUAACUCCGAUUUAAUCCGUUCAGGUUGCCUUAGCUUCGUAUAAAUAUUUAUCACGCAGUAAUAACACUAUUUGUGUCAUAUCACAUACUUUUAUAAUUAGGUAUUUGUUUAACCUAUGGAUUAACCUUUCUAGAUCAAAGUUAAUCUGUCUAUAAUUGUAACCUGACUAAAAUAUGAUCACUAAUUAAGGUAUAACUUGGAUUAGAGAUGAACUAAGAUGUUUAUUUAGAAUAUAUUUCUCACAUGCUUUAUGUUAAUCCACAUAGAACAUAAUUUUCACAUUUAAUCACAUAGAUCUUCCAAAAACUAUAUCUUUUCAGUCGUAACUCUGAUUUUAGUGGUUCUCGAACCUACGAUCUCGUAGCAGCGUGUAGAAUAUUCUUACAUAGUUUGUUCUUAUGCUUUGUGUAAUGUUAAUAUAUCCAUUAUUUACUUGAUUGUAUGGAGCCCAACUUUUAGGGCAGCAUCUCGACAACAGGUUAUCGCAGGUAUAAGGCAAGUUGUGCCCUUGAUCACUCUUCUUUAACUAAUAAUAUUCUCCAUAUUCACCGUGACAUGCUCAGGUUAACUUGAUGGGACCUAAUAUGUUGCCCUAGUUUUCUUCACCACACACCUUGCAUACAAAUGAACUAUUGGGUAGUUUGGCUAUGCUCUACCUAGUUUUGGGAAAUAAUAAUAUAUGACAUAUGAUCAUGUUUUAUCAUUGUUAAUGAAUUAUUUAUUGUUUAUGAUAAGAUUAUGGUGUUAAUUGGAACACGGAACUUAACUUGAGAUAAUAGUGCUACCACAAAUGUGGAAUGGGACGCCCUUGAAUGAUUAAUUAGGAAAGCUAGUAUGAAUUAAUCCUUUUCCGAAAGGGGCAAGUGGGGUGGAGUGCAGGUAUAGGGAGGUCCUCGGGUCGGACUGUCUGUAAAGAUUUUCGGAUGAGGGGUUCCUAUAUCGCCUACGGCCCAGAGUCCGUAGUGGGUUCUCUCAUCUAAUGAAACUUUGUAAAAGUCUCGCAGUGCAUCCCUAGAAUUUCACCAUGGGAGUAGGGCUGGAAAAGAGCCGAGCCAGGCUCGGCUCGGCUCGAUGUGGCUCGGAGGUGAAAAGGCUCAAGCCUGGCUCGGCUCGCCGGUACACCGAGCUACCAAAAUAGGCUCGGCUCGGCUCGGCUCGGGUAUGGCUCGCGAGCCGGCUCGAGCUGGCUCGCGAGCUUGUCCGCCCAUCACACACACCAGCUGACAGGAAUGAAUAGAAAUACAAAACAAGUAUACAAAAUCAGCAUGACUGGUGACUACAUUAUAAAAGGAAAUUCCUUUGAUAAAAAUACAAGCAGCCAAGCAAUAUAAAAAAACCAAAAACAAGUUUGAGGGUUUGACAGCAUAAGUUUCAUAGCAUAAGUUUGAGUGUUUGACAGCAAAUGACAUGACAUUCAAGUAUUCAACGACAACAAGCAUAUGCUAUCAACCAGCACUCCAGCAACAUAUAUCAACCAAAAGUCAAAAGCACUCAUCAACUUGCAUAUUUCAAAAGGCCAAAAGCAUCCAACAGCUUCAACUUUACUGCUUGUAUAGUUGUAUCCACCAAAACUCCAAAAGCAUCUAGCAACCAACACUUUCAUUAUCAUUACACACCUGAACAAGUAAACAAAUAUACAUAAGCAUCUUACAAGCCAUAAUGGUACAAGUACAAAUAUACACAAGUACUAUUACUAGUUGCUUUGCACAAAGCUUUUUGGAAAUGAGAUAGUCUCCAUGUCGUCCUCAUCAUCAUGUACCUGUUGAAAAAAUACAAAUUUCACUCAAAAUCUGAAAAGAACAUAAGAAAUGCACUCUAAUAAAUAAUAAAAGAGCAACUAACCACAUAUGUCAUGCUUCCAUCAUGCGACCCUUGAAUCCAGCUAGAGGAGCAUACCAAAGCCUCCACCAUAGAAGGGCUGAGAGAACUCCGAUAAUCAUCUAAAGUUCUACCCCCUGUGCUAAAAGUAGACUCUGAAGGGACAGAUGUUGCUGGUACAGUUAAGAAUUUCUUUGCCAUCCUUGAGACAACCGGAAACCUAUGUGAAUUAACCUUCCACCAGCUCAACAAAUCAAACUCCUUGUCUGCUAGAUUGACAUUCAUCUCAUCUAAAUAGAUAAGCAACUCACUCUUUGAUGGGUUUGCUUCAGUGGAUGAUAAAAAUGACUGAAAUUCACAUGAUGCAGAAGGCAAGCUUAAAAUUCUAUCAUUAGCCAAAGAUGAUCUAGCACUAUUUUUGUUUUGAGUAGCUUUUCUCUCUCUAUGUUGCAGCUCACAGUCCUCAAACAAUUUUUCUAACUCACCUGAACUUCAUCUAUCUCAAAUCUAACUUGGUCACCAUCAAAGAUUUUACCAAAGCACCACUCGAUAUACCUCAUCUUAUACCUAGGAUCUAGAAUCGUAACAAUCACCAUAACAUUAUUUUUUUUCUUCCCAAUACUUAUUGAACUUCUCCAUCAUCGCAGUACCCAUUUUUCUCAAAUGCAAACUACUAGAACUCAUUGCUACCCUCAAUGCAAUCUUGACAUCCACAAUGUGAGGAUAAAAAAGAUUUGCAGUAGGAUAUGUAGAAGCUGACAAUGAAGUGGUUACUUUAGCUAAUGAGGCAAGAAUAGGCUCAAUUGCAACAAAUAAAUCCCAUUCCUCGUUUGUAGGUUCCCAUUUAUAAUUCAAAUCAGUAUCGACAUAAGUUUGAAUUGCUUCUUUGUAAGCUAUACUAGUACGCAGCAUCUUGUAUGUUGAACUCCAUCUAGUUGACACAUCAAGACUCAAGCCCUCUCCAAUUUGCAAUGCAAGAGAUCUACAAAUCUCUACAAACUUAUGCAUAUGAGAUGGGGAUUUCUUAAUGUAUUUCACAGUUGACCUUAGGUUGUCUAUCAAAGAAGCCAAAGCAGUAGUUCCAUCAUUGACAACCAAAUUAAUAAUGUGUGCACAACAACGCACAUGAAAAUAUUUUGAACUGAAUGUAUUACCUUGUCUAGCUGCAAAUCUAGCCCUCAAACCACGGAUAGCACCAUCAUUGUUUGCAGCAUUAUCUGAAGUGAUAGAAAUAAUCUUAUCCUCUAUUUUCCAUGUUGUAACACACUCAUAGGCUGCUUGCCUAUCACAGGUCCUUUGUGUGGAGGAUCUAAUUCAAAGAAAUUCAGCACACAACAUUGCAUUUUCCAAUCACUAUCUAUGUAGUGUGCAACCAAACACAUAUAGGACAAUGUUUGAUUAGAAGUCCAUAGAUCAGUAGUCAAUGAAAUAUAAUCCACUCCUUUAAGGGCCUUUGAUAGUUUUUCUUUUUCAGACUCAUACACUUUCAAGCAUUCUGCUCUAAUGGUUUUCCUACCAAUGAACUCAUAUUGUGGAUUCAAAUACUUCAUGACAAUGUUAAAUCAUGUAUGCUCAACCAUUCUAAAUGGGUACUCAUGAACUAUAAUCAUCUUGGCAAUUAAUUUUCUAACUUGCUCAUGAUUAUAAUCUCUAGGGGAUGUGAUAGUAGGGAGACCAGAACCUGAUUCACCUGCAUUUGAAGGAGCAAAGUUGAGAAGAGAUUGAUCUAGUUUCUUUUCCAAAUGCUUUGAAUAUGCCCCACAACUCUUCAUAUGCCUCGAUAAUGUUGAUGUCGUUGACCCUUGCAUGUAGGCAUACCUUUUCUUACAAUACUUGCACUUUGCCUUUAAUGUCUUCUUUCCAUCUUCGGAUGCAUCUCCAACAGUCACUUUAUCAAAAACUUCCCACACUUUGGAUUUAGAGUUGUUAUCCUUUACUUUCACCCCCCUUACGCCUUUUCUUGGCUUUUCUUUUGUCAUCAUUAUUUGAUUCCACAACAUCAAUCUCUCUCCAACCUAGGACAGUCAUUUCAUCCUCAGACAUGUCAUCGUUCUUGUCAAAUGAAUUGCUUUCUGAAUCUAUCUCAUUACUUUGAUUCACCCCCUUCCCUUGCACACUAGAUUCCAUAACCUAGCAAUUUAUGAUCAACAAUACAUAAUGUGUUAACUGCAACUGCAAGUCUGCAAGAUAAAACUGAACAAACUGCAAAACAAAACUGAACAAACUGCUGUCGAGCGGUGGAUGAGGAAUUGACGAUGCUCACCGGUGGUCUAUGAAUGAGGAACCGGUCGUGCAGGCGAGCGGUGGAUGAGCAGCCAAGCGGUCAGUGUCGGCAUCUCGUUGACGGACAAGGACCGGAUCACCGGAGAUGGCGGAUUGGGGCACUGGGUGACUCGCAGCGGCCACCGGCCAGGCAGAGGGAGGCGGGUGGCGGGUGGCGGUAGGCGGCGUGCCGGCAUGGGCGCGUGCGCGUCCGCGCGUGGCGGGGCGCCGUCUACGGAACGCCGGCCCGCACAGCGGCACGACCGCACGAGUCACAGGAGGUCAGCAGCGGCAGCGAGCCAGCGGCAGUCGUGGUCGCGCCAGGCAUCGUCAGCCGUCACUCCGUCAGCCGUCACCGUCAGCGGUCGCGGUCGCGCCAGCCGCCGAGCACGAGCACCGCUGAGCACGAGUGCCGCCGUCACUCUGUCACAGGAGCACCGCCGAGGCGCCACCGCCGAGCACGAGCUGUUAGGGUUAGGGACUUGGGUUAGGUGAUUUGGGGUGGCUUGCCGGCUUGAGCUUUAGGCGCUUGCUUUGCUUGUGGGCCUAUUGGGCUGCUCCGCUGCUGCCUGCUAGUACUUACGCGCGUGGCGCGCUAGGCUUGGCUCGCGAGCCGGCUCGCGAGAUUGUGCGAGCUAGCUCGGCUUGGCUCGGGAUUUUUUCGAGCUUGCUAAACCGGCUCGGCUCGGCUCGGCUCGCCGGCAGCUCGCGAGCCGGCUCGAGCCUGCCCGAGCCGCAACGAGCUCGAUCCGGCUCGCCGAGCCCGAGCUUUUUUCUCAGCCCUACAUGGGAGUGUCUAGGGAUCUUGCAAACCCUAGCUAAAUGGGAAACACGUCUUGUGGGUAAAGAUGUGCGACCUCUACAAAGUGUAAAACAGGUAUAUCAGUCGUGCUCACGGUCAAGAGCGACUCAGGACUCUCACAUGAUUAAUUUAUGGAAUUAAAUUUAAUCUGUCAUUUGCAUUGUAUUGUGGGAUUUAUUAUUAAUGGUGAUUUCUUAUUUAAUUGUGAUGGUAUUUACUUAUACUUAGUAACUGCUAAUAAAAAAAUUACCAACUUGUUAAAAGCAACGCUCAGCCUUAACCAUUCUCUUUGGUAAGCCUUACACUUCACAUGAGCCCCCACCAUAAGUGAGCUCAUGCACAUUAUUCUCCACAACUUGUUGAGCGAUGAACGUAUGUGAGCUCACUCUUGUUGUACUCACACCCUGGUCAAGAACAGGUACCAUAAGAUGAGGAGCAUGAAGGAUGUCACGAUGAGUUCGUGAGAGGUCUAGACUGUCAUCUCCCAGUCAACUAUGGUUGCAGAGGAUCAUUGUCGUCAUAUGAUGUAUUUAUUUAGCUAUUUUGUAUAGAACCCCUAUUAUAUAAUAAAGAUGUGACAUU
rnacentral:lncRNA from 1 species